rnacentral:tRNA from 1 species
AGUACAAUUGACUUCCAAUCAAUCAGCUUCGGUAUAACCCGAAAAAGAA